GUUCCGGUAGCUCAGGGGUAGAGCGGCAGAUUGCAAUUAAUUGACAUCUGCAGGUCGUGCGUUCGAAUCGCGCCCGGAACU